GGGGCAACUCCUUCUACACUUCUCCGUAAGUACUCUAAGGAUGCUUGAGCAGGGGCUACAGCCUGGAUGAUCUACUUAUACAACCUCAUGAAAUACCAUAUAUGCCUACCUCUUAGGUACAAAAAUAAAAUAUGCUCAACCAUAUCAUCCUCCAAACCAUAACAUAGGUAGGCCGAUUAGAUCUCCAUACCUCGGCCUCUCAGCAAGGAUCUCAUUGGAAGCUAACCCCAGGCCACCUUCCAAAGAAAGAGGCUUAUUUGCAAGUAUAACCCCAUCCUUCAAAUCCAUCC
rnacentral:lncRNA from 1 species